UGGUUUGUAUGUGAUCUACAGGGGACACGGGGAGCUCAGGGAUACCAGGCCUCCCGGGACAAAGAGGACUGGAGGGACCAAGGGGAGAAAAGGGUGAAAAAGGUGAUAUCCAGACUGGUAGAUGGGUACGGACCACUGGUGUGUAAGGGCUAUUGCAGCAGCACACUUUUGUGGAUGCACUGACAGCGGAAAGAAAUCUUUAAGAAGAUAAAUCCAUAAACUAACCUCCCCUUAUGAAGUAGCACAGUUUAGAGGCUUGUUUGGUUGCUAUUUUAUCACACUAUACAGUUUUAUAUUCAAUGCAUGCAAUAUUAUAAUUCAUACAUUCAAAAUGUUCAGCUUUACCAACACGGAUUUAAGACAGUCUUAGUUUUCAUUAUUUUGCACUUAGCACUUGAAAUGUACCUUUUAUCCAAUAGUGGACUUUGUAAUUGCCUUUAUGAUUUAAUUCUUUUUUAUUUUUUGUAUUAUAUCCAUUUGUCUAUGGUCAAUUGUUGCAAUGCAAAAUUAACACACAAAAAUGAAAUCAGAAUGUUACGGAUGAUACACCAAACAAAAAAGUAUCUCAAGCAGCUGAGAUAGACCAUGUGAUGUAACAUGACUCACUUUACAAGGGCCACUGUUUAACAAAGAGUAUGAUUUUACGCCUACCCGAUAUGAACCCAAACUGCACCAUGUUUAGAAAAAAAAAAACACCAAUAAAUCAAAGAAAAUACAAUGAGUUUUAUUUACAGAAUAUCAAUGGACAAGCGUUUUGAUACAUAAAUUGACCUCAAAAAUGCGUCAGAUAUUCCAUCAAAGUGCUGCAAGAGGUUAAGGUCACCGUUCAGCAGUAUGACACCAGGAUAUCUCUGGAAAAAUAUCCUGCUUGUGCAAAUGCCAACUUUUAAAACCUGUUCAAAGAGAUCAUGUCUCUGGUAAAGUACAGCAUUUGGGAUUUCCUUCAGCAUGCAAAAAGUAUAGGAGCACAGCAUGUCAUAAUAUGGCUAAGAUACAGGUGUGUGAUUUCUUACACAAAA